rnacentral:rRNA from 1 species
GACGAACGCUGGCGGCGUGCUUAACACAUGCAAGUCGAACGGCAAGGCCCUGCUUGCAGGGUACUCGAGUGGCGAACUGGUGAGUAACACGUGGGUGCUCUGCCCUCCACUUCUGGGUAAGCUUUGGCAACUGGGUCUAAUACCUGAUACGACCCAUCUUUAGUGUGGUGGUUGGGAAGUUUUUUCGGUGUAGGGUGAGUUCGCGGCCUAUCAGCUUGUUGGGGGGUUAAUGGCCUACCAAGGCGGCGACGGGUCGCCGGCCUGCGAGUGUGUAAGGCGAAAUUGGGACUGAGAGAAGGCACAGACGCGGAAGGGAGGAAGCAGUGGGGAAUAUUGAACAAUGGGUGCAGGCCUGAUGCAGAGAGGCUGCGGGGUGGAGGAAGGCCUUCGGGUUGAAAACACGUUUCGGGAGGGACGAAGCUUGUUGUGACGGUACCUAGAGAAGAAGCACCGGCUAACUACGUG